rnacentral:rRNA from 1 species
AGAGUUUGAUCAUGGCUCAGAUUGAACGCUGGCGGCAGGCUUAACACAUGCAAGUCGAGCGGUAACAGGGGAAGCUUGCUUCCCGCUGACGAGCGGCGGGACGGGUGAGUAAUGCUUAGGAAUCUGCCCAGUAGCGGGGGAUAGCCCGGGGGAAACCCGGAUUAAUACCGCAUACGUCCUACGGGAGAAAGCAGGGGAUCUUCGGGACCUUGCGCUAUUGGAUGAGCCUAAGUCGGAUUAGCUAGUUGGUGGGGUAAAGGCCUACCAAGGCGACGAUCCGUAGCUGGUCUGAGAGGAUGAUCAGCCACAUCGGGACUGAGACACGGCCCGAACUCCUACGGGAGGCAGCAGUGGGAAUAUUGGACAAUGGGGGCAACCCUGAUCCAGCCAUGCCGCGUGUGUGAAGAAGGCUUUCGGGUUGUAAGGCACUUUCAGUAGGGAGGAAAACCUUAUGGUUAAUACCCAUGAGGCUUGACGUUACCUACAGAAGAAGCACCGGCUAACUCCGUGCCAGCAGCCGCGGUAAUACGGAGGGUGCAAGCGUUAAUCGGAAUUACUGGGCGUAAAGCGCGCGUAGGUGGUUUGGUAAGCGAGAUGUGAAAGCCCCGGGCUUAACCUGGGAACGGCAUUUCGAACUGUCAGACUAGAGUGUGGUAGAGGGUAGUGGAAUUUCCUGUGUAGCGGUGAAAUGCGUAGAUAUAGGAAGGAACACCAGUGGCGAAGGCGGCUACCUGGACCAACACUGACAC